rnacentral:rRNA from 1 species
AUUGAACGCUGGCGGCAUGCCUUACACAUGCAAGUCGAACGGCAGCGCGGGGCAACCUGGCGGCGAGUGGCGAACGGGUGAGUAAUAUAUCGGAACGUGCCCUGGAGUGGGGGAUAACGUAGCGAAAGUUACGCUAAUACCGCAUACGAUCCAAGGAUGAAAGCAGGGGACCUUCGGGCCUUGUGCUCCUGGAGCGGCCGAUAUCUGAUUAGCUAGUUGGUGGGGUAAAAGCCUACCAAGGCGACGAUCAGUAGCUGGUCAGAGAGGACGACCAGCCACACUGGAACUGAGACACGGUCCAGACUCCUACGGGAGGCAGCAGUGGGGAAUUUUGGACAAUGGGGGCAACCCUGAUCCAGCAAUGCCGCGUGUGUGAAGAAGGCCCUUCGGGUUGUUAAAGGACACUUUU